GUCGAAGCUACAAAGGGCGUACGGUGAAUGCCUUGGUGUCAGGAGCCGAUGAAGGGCGUAGUAGGCCACGAUAAGCCUCGGGAAGCCGCGAACAGGCUAAUCCGGGGAUGCCCGAAUGGGGAAACCCGGCGUGCUAAAUGCGCGUCAUCCGUGCGUGAACACAUAGCGUACGGAGGGGAACCGGGGGAACUGAACCAUCUUAGUACCCCGAGGAGAAUAAAGCAACCGCGAGUCCCCUAGUAGUGGCGAGCGAACGGGGAUCAGCCCAAACCUGCUUGAGGUGUUGCCUGCGGGCUUACUCAAGUGGGGGUCGUGGGACGACCACGGAGGACCGCAGACCUCCAACGGAGUUACAAAUCCAUACUUUAGCAGAUAGAGUGCUGGAAAGCACCGCCAUAGAGGGUAACAGCCCCGUAUGCGAAAAGGUGUGGACUCCGGGUAUGUUCCCAAGUACCACGGGACACGAGAAACCCUGUGGGAAUUCGGGGGGACCACCCUCCAAGGCUAAAUACUCCUGAUGACCGAUAGUGAACCAGUACCGUGAGGGAAAGGUGAAAAGCACCCCAGGCGGGGAGUGAAAUAGAACCUGAAACCGUAUGCCUACAAUCAGUCGGAGCCCUAUGCCUGUCUUCGGACAGGAAUGGGUGACGGCGUGCUUCUUGCAUAAUGAGCCGGCGAGUUACGGUAUGCAGCAAGGUUAAGGAGUUCCGCUCCGGAGCCGUAGGGAAACCGAGUCUGAAUAGGGCGAUUUAGUUGCAUGUCGUAGACCCGAAACCGAGCGAUCUAUCCAUGGCCAGGCUGAAGCGCGGCUAAUCCCGCGUGAAAGGCCGAACCAGCUGGUGUUGAAAAACCUUCGGAUGAGCUGUGGAUAGCGGUGAAACGCCAAUCGAGCUCGGAGAUAGCUGGUUCUCCCCGAAAUAGCUUUAGGGCUAGCCUCAGGCGAUAAGUCAUGGAGGUAGAGCACUGGAUGGGCUAGGGGGCCUACAAGCCUACCGCACUCAACCAAACUCCGAAUGCCGUGACUCGUACCCUGGGAGUCGGACUGCGGGAGAUAAGUUUCGUAGUCGAGAGGGAUUCAGCCCAGACCGACGGCUAAGGUCCCCAAACUGAGCUAAGUGGGAAAGGAUGUGGAACGGCUUAGACAACCAGGAGGUUGGCUUAGAAGCAGCCAUCCUUAAAACAACGCGUAACAGCGGACUGGUCGAGCUGUUCUGCGCCGAUGAUCCAACGGGGCUUAAGCUCAGUACCGAAGCCUCGGAUUCCCUUAUGGGAAUGGUAGGGGAGCGUUCCGCGCUAGGCUGAAGCCAGACCGUGAGGACUGGUGGACGAAGCGGAAGUGCGAAUGCCGGCAUGAGUAGCGAAAAAGAAAGUGAGAAUCUUUCUCGCCGAAAGCCUAAGGUUUCUUCAGGAAGGCUCGUCCUCUGAAGUUUAGCCGGUCCUAACCCGAGGCCGAAAGGCGUAGGGGAUGGGUAGUCCGGUAGAUAUUCCGGCGCCUCCAGUAAGCGUUUGAUCUAUGGGGUGACGCGGUCAGUAAGCCCAUCGCACUGCUCGGAUUAGUGCGUCGAAGCCCGUAGGGGAGCGGAUAGGCAAAUCCGUCCGCUCAUCACCCGAGGGGCCCUAGGGAAGCGCGCAGAAAUGCAAGCCAACUGGGUGGAUGGACCGCCAAGAAAAGCCUCUAUGAGAGCAAGCUGGAGACCGUACCGCAAACCGCCACAGGUAGGCAGGGAGAGUAUCCCAAGGCGCGCGAGAGAACCCUCCGUAAGGAAUUCGGCAAGUUAGCCCCGUAACUUCGGGAGAAGGGGUGCCU
rnacentral:rRNA from 1 species